UUCCUGGUGGUCCAGUGGGUAGGACUCAGUGCUCUUCCUGCUGGGGCCCAGGUUCAAUCCCUGGUCGGGAAA